AGAUUUUUUACAGUAUCUACAGAAUAAAGGUCCUCUUGCCUGGUCAAAAUUGAUCCUCUGACUGAAAGGAGAAGGAGGAAUAGGCACUGUGGCCUUGUUAAAUCCAAUAGGCUGCCUAUUAGUAUGGACAUUGAAAGAGACAAAGUUUGGAUUAAAGUGAGAAGAAGACUGAACUUGUCUUUGCUUCUCAUCAUUGAGGACCAUAUUAUA
rnacentral:lncRNA from 1 species